GAUGAAGAACGCAGCGAAAUGCGAUACGUAGUGUGAAUUGCAGAAUUCCGUGAACCAUCAAAUCUUUGAACGCAUAUUGCGCUCGAGGCUUCGGCCGAGAGCAUGUCUGCCUCAGCGUCGGUAUUGCCCCUCGCUUCUCAACCCCUGGUUGAUGCCUGCCUGCCUUUGCAGUUGGCUAGAAGCGGAUCUGGCUUUCCCAAUUGCCUUUGGUAGUUGGGUCAGCUGAAGCACAGAGGCUUGAGCAAGGACCCUUAUUGGGCUUCAACUGGAUAGGUAGAACUGGUCUUAGGACCAACUACACGAAGUUGUUGCUUGUGGUCUUUGUCUGGAGGCCAGCAGGAAACCUUUAUACCUUCGACCUGAGCUCAGGCAAGAUUACCCGCUGAACUUAAGCAUAUCAAUAAGCGGAGGA
rnacentral:misc_RNA from 1 species